CUGUUAAACUUUCAACAUCUUUCUCAUCACGGUAGACAAGAUGCCUGCAAGCUAAUGGUCUUACAGAAUGCCCUAAAUCUGGUUUCCCUCCAACACAGAAAGAUGACUUUCGACGAAAACUUCAGUGAUGAAUUGUAUUAUAAGCCCUACCAUUAUGGGGGCUGGUGUGGUAGAGGUUACAGUUACUGUAGGCCAUAGCGCUACCAAAGGCCAUACUGGGGUUGUUGGGGCUAUCCCAAACGUUGUUGGUACCCUUAUCCUUGCCAUUGGGGCUGGGGGUACGGCUAUGGAAGGGGUUGGCCAUGUUUCGCCGAGGAGGAAUAGACCCGGAACGUGGAAAGGCCAGGAAACCUUAAGCAAGAUUCACAGAUGAGUUUAUGGGCAAUAGGUCUGAGAAAUGCAGAGUGCCCUCAACUCCCAUGGGAGCUGUGAGUGCUCAGCAUCUCAGUCAAUCUGCCCCAUAUCUAUAUUGCCUUGGUUACAUUCGAUGACUGUUUCCUCUACUGCCUUCCAUACACUCUGUUUCUUCUAGAAUAAUCUGUUUAUGCAUAAAUCUCAAUUCCACAAAGGCCCCUUUAGGCCACUCUGACAGUAAAUGAAGCAGAGGCUUUAUGUUUGGGUGAAAAAACAUUUACACUCACUUAAAAAGCCAUGUAAAGAGGUCUUUGUGUCAAUGAGAAUGAAACCCUACGUGUUCUAGUCCUUUCAUGCAUAUGUGCCAUUUGUUUCUGCUUUCAGCUUUGCUUUAUAUGUUGUUUACUGGAGAAGUAGUUUCAUCCUUGGCUUUAGUUGUGCUUUGUCUCAUUUCAUUCUGACUGUGAUGAAACUAGUACGUUAAAAUGGUUGGAAACAGGACUUGAUUGUCAGACUCUACAGCUGUGAUGAAGAACCAAGAACAUCUGGUGUGAAAUACAUCACCUUGGAGCCAGUGAUUCAUUGUAGAGCUUCUUGAUACCUUGGAGAUAUUAUUUUAAUUCUGAUUUCUUUCUGUCGCCUUCUGUGUACUUCUCUUCCUAUUCACAUUAAAAUGAUUCUGAAAUCAUA